rfam:Anopheles arabiensis strain DONG5_A unplaced genomic scaffold supercont1.7, whole genome shotgun sequence.
UAAACAGUCCUUUUCAGGGCUACCAAAUAUUUCUGACAAGAACUAU